AGCGAACGCUGGCGGCAGGCCUAACACAUGCAAGUCGAACGACGUCUUCGGACUUAGUGGCGGAGGGGUGAGUAACACGUGGGAACGUGCCUUUAGGUUCGGAAUAACGCAGGGAAACUUGUGCUAAUACCGAAUGUGCCCUUCGGGGGAUAGUUUUAUCGCCCUUAGAGCGGCCCGCGUCUGAUUAGCUAGUUGGUGAGGUAAAGGCUCACCAAGGCUACGAUCAGUAGCUGGUCUGAGAGGAUGACCAGCCACAUUGGGACUGAGACACGGCCCAAACUCCUACGGGAGGCAGCAGUGGGGAAUCUUGCGCAAUGGGCGAAAGCCUGACGCAGCCAUGCCGCGUGGAUGAUGAAGGCCUUAGGAUUGUAAAAUCCUUUCACCGGUGAAGAUAAUGACUGUAGCCGGAGAAGAAGCCCCGGCUAACUUCGUGCCAGCCGCCGCCGCGGUAA
rnacentral:rRNA from 1 species